AAGAGAUGUGUGAGGGGCCGAGAGGCGCCGAGCAUAUUAAGAGGGUGUGGUUUUGAUGAGGGGGUUGUAGUAGUGCGAUACGUUGCGCUGCUACAUGCUCCUUUUCACUAUUCAUUCGCGAUCUUCAACCACGUAUUGAGCAAGUGAUUACGACACA
rnacentral:misc_RNA from 1 species